rnacentral:misc_RNA from 1 species
ACCAAAAUCAUCUUGCUGAUUCAUUUGCUGUCUGAAUCCUCUUGCUUUCCUCUUUGCUUUUUCAUUUGUUGAUUUAAACCAUGGGAGUUCCCAACUUUAGACCUCGAAACCGAUAAGGAUCUUUCUCUGCGGUUGAAAUAGCUAGGUUCUCGAUGAAUAGGCUAGCC